rnacentral:tRNA from 1 species
GCAGCGGUAGGGUUAGAAUACCGGCCUGUCACGCCGGGGGUCGCGGGUUCGAGUCCCGUCCGCUGCGCCA